AACACUGACAUUAAUUAGCGCCGUUUGCAAAAUUCUAAAUUCUAAAAACUUAAACUCUAAAACCAUAAACCCUAAAUCCAAAACACUAAACCGUAAACCUCAAUCCUAAAAUCUAAACUCUAAAUGUUAAACCCUAAACUCAAACUCUACACAAUAAACCCUAAAUCUUAAAUUCUACACCCUAAAGCCUAAACCCAAAACUCUAAACCAUAAACCCUAAAUCCUAAAAUCUAAACUCUAAAUCCUAAACCCUAAACCCAAAACUUUAAAUCUUAAACCCAAACCCUAAAUCAUAAACCCUAAAUCCUAAACCCUAAAUCCC
rnacentral:lncRNA from 1 species